UACGGAGGGUGCGAGCGUUGUCCGGAAUCACUGGGCGUAAAGGGCGCGUAGGUGGCGCUGCAAGUCAACGGUGAAAGCUCGACGCUUAACGUCGAGUCGGCCGUCGAAACUGCAGCGCUCGAGCACUGUAGAGGCUCAUGGAAUUCCGGGUGUAGCGGUGGAAUGGCGUAGAGAUCCGGAAGAACACCGGUGGCGAAGGCGGUGAGCUGGGCAGUUGCUGACACUGAUGCGCGACAGCGUGGGGAGCAAACAGG
rnacentral:rRNA from 1 species